rnacentral:rRNA from 1 species
CCUACGGGAGGCAGCAGUGAGGAAUAUUGGUCAAUGGCCGUAAGGCUGAACCAGCCAAGUCGCGUGAAGGAAGAAGGACCUAUGGGUUGUAAACUUCUUUUAUAGGGGAGUAAAGGUAUCCACGUGUGGCUAUUUGCAUGUCACCUAUGAAUAAGCAUCGGCUAACUCCGUGCCAGCAGCCGCGGUAAUACGGAGGAUGCGAGCGUUAUCCGGAUUUAGUGGGUUUAAAGGGUGCGUAGGUUGUGUUUUAAGCAGCCGUGAAAGUUUGGGGGUUAACCAUAAAAUUGCCGUUGAAACUGGGAGUGUUGAGUGUGUGUGAGGUAGGCGGAAUGCGUGGUGUAGCGGUGAAAGGCAUAGAUAUCACGCAGAACUCCGAUUGCGAAGGCAGCUUACUAAGCCCUAACUGACACUGAGGCACGAAAGUGUGGGGAUCAAACAGGAUUAGAUACCCUUGUAGUC